CCUACGGGGGGCAGCAGUGGGGAAUAUUGGACAAUGGGCGAAAGCCUGAUCCAGCCAUGCCGCGUGUGUGAAGAAGGCCUUCGGGUUGUAAAGCACUUUCAGUGGGGAAGAAAGCCUUGGGGCUAAUACCCUCGAGGAAGGACAUCACCCACAGAAGAAGCACCGGCUAACUCCGUGCCAGCAGCCGCGGUAAUACGGAGGGUGCGAGCGUUAAUCGGAAUUACUGGGCGUAAAGCGCGAGUAGGCGGUCUGAUAAGCCGGUUGUGAAAGCCCCGGGCUCAACCUGGGAACGGCAUCCGGAACUGUCAGGCUAGAGUGCAGGAGAGGAAGGUAGAAUUCCCGGUGUAGCGGUGAAAUGCGUAGAGAUCGGGAGGAAUACCAGUGGCGAAGGCGGCCUUCUGGACUGACACUGACGCUGAGGUGCGAAAGCGUGGGUAGCAAACAGGAUUAGAUACCCUUGUAGUC
rnacentral:rRNA from 1 species